ACGCCCGUCCAGCUCUGCUCCUCCCGCGCCGCCGCCGCCGCCGCCGCCUCCUGCACGCGCCUCGAGAUCGCGCGCUGCACCGCCCACUGGAAGGCGCGCGUCAGCCGUCGUCUGAGGUCCUCCAGCAGCGGGCUGGCGGCGAGGGCCUCCUCCUGGAUGUCCGUGCUCCUGCCGUCCCCGAAGAAGUCGCACGCGGGACGAGGUGGGAACCAAAGCUCCGCUCUACCUGGGAGUCCCUGGAGCCCCUGGGAAAUUCUCUCUCUGCAGCGGCGGAAGUCCCCGGGGCCCAUCGCGGAGACGCCUGGUCACUGCUCUACCGCUGCUGCUGAAACAGGCAAAGCAAAUUGAAGAAUUGGAGCACUGAAUAUAACAUCCACAGACAUUUGAAUUAGAAAAUGUAUUAAUUAUUUAUUGCUGCAUAACAAAUUACUCCAAAAUUCAAUGGUU
rnacentral:lncRNA from 1 species